CAAGUUGGCGGCCAAAUCAUGUUGCUCUUGGUUGAUUCUGGGAGCACGCACAGUUUCAUCAGCGAAGCUUUUCCCUCUCGCCUGACAGUUCAGACAGAGCAACUGCCCCCAGUUUCAGUUCGAGUGGCCAAUGGGCAACGACUCCGGUGCACUCAAAUUGUGCAUGGGUUAGCGUGGGAAGUGCCUAGACAUACAUUUCACACGGAUCUGCGAGUCCUUCCACUGGAUGCAUAUGAUGGAGUGCUGGGCAUCGAUUGGUUAUCAGCUCACAGCCCCAUGAACUGUCACUAGUAACACAAGACCAUCGAUUUUGAAACUCAGGGCAAGCGCGUACACAUACAAGGAAUGCGCACCACGGACUUACCUCCAAUCUCACAGCUCGAUGCUUAUGAACUGCACAGAAUGGAAGUGGCUAAUGAUAUUUGGACUGCAGCUUUAGUUACCGUGGAAACAGUGGACAAACCUGAACCUGAACCAGUUCCGGCUAAUAUUCAGAAACUCUUAUCUGAAUAUGAGGAUGUGUUCUCUGAACCCAAAACCCUCCCACCCAAGAGGCAGUAUGAUCAUGCUAUCAACCUGGAGCCGGGCACUGCUCCAAUUAACACGAGGCCGUACCGCUAUUCACCAACUCAAAAAGACGAGAUCGAGAAGCAAGUUCAAGAGAUGCUGCAGUCCGGGGUGAUAGCACACAGCCUGAGCCCGUACGCAGCGCCGGUGCUGUUGGUCAAGAAAAAAGAUGGCAGCUGGCGCUUUUGCGUGGAUUUCUGA
rnacentral:rRNA from 1 species